rnacentral:rRNA from 1 species
UGGGGAAUAUUGCACAAUGGAGGGAACUCUGAUGCAGCGACGCCGCGUGAACGAAGAAGGCUUUCGAGUCGUAAAGUUCUUUUAUAUGGGAAGAUAAUGACGGUACCAUAAGAAAAAGCCCCGGCUAACUACGUGCCAGCAGCCGCGGUAAUACGUAGGGGGCUAGCGUUGUCCGGAAUCACUGGGCGUAAAUGGUUCGCAGGCGGAAAUGCAAGUCAGGUGUAAAAGGCAGUAGCUUAACUACUGUAAGCAUUUGAAACUGCAUAUCUUGAGAAGAGUAGAGGUAAGUGGAAUUUUUAGUGUAGCGGUGAAAUGCGUAGAUAUUAAAAAGAAUACCGGUGGCGAAGGCGACUUACUGGACUCAUUCUGACGCUGAGGAACGAAAGCGUGGGUAGCAAACAGG